rnacentral:rRNA from 1 species
GUCGAGAAUUUUUCACAAUGGGGGCAACCCUGAUGGAGCGACGCCGCGUGGAGGACGAAGGGCUUCGUGCUUGUAAACUCCUGUCAAGCGGGAACAAGAAAGUGAUAGUACCGCUAGAGGAAGAGACGGCUAACUCUGUGCCAGCAGCCGCGGUAAUACAGAGGUCUCGAGCGUUGUUCGGAUUCAUUGGGCGUAAAGGGUGCGUAGGCGGUGUGGUAAGUCGAAUGUGAAAUCUCGGAGCUCAACUCCGAAACUGCAUUCGAUACUGCCAUACUCGAGGAUUGUAGAGGAGAUCGGAAUUCACGGUGUAGCAGUGAAAUGCGUAGAUAUCGUGAGGAAGACCAGUUGCGAAAGCGGAUCUCUGGGCAACUCCUGACGCUGAGGCACGAAGGCUAGGGGAGCAAACGGG